rnacentral:lncRNA from 1 species
UUUUGCAGAACACUGAUAUCUAUGGACUCUAAUAUGGACUUCAUUUAAAGAAAUCUACGGACCAUUAAUGGACAAAAACAUGAACCAAUUUAUGUUGUGGCAUUCAAAUCGUAGCACUUUGGGAAAGAGAUCACAAAGUAGGAAGAGAGGCAGGCAGAGAGAGAGAGGAGGAAGCAGGCUCCCUGCUGAGCAGAGAGUCGGAUGCGGAUGCGGGGCUCCAUCCCAGGACCCUGGGAUCAUGACCUGAGCCGAAGGCAGAGGCUUUAACCCACUGAGCCACCCAGGUGCCCCACUUCAUG